GAUGAAGAACGCAGCGAAAUGCGAUAAGUAAUGUGAAUUGCAGAAUUCCGUGAAUCAUCGAAUCUUUGAACGCACAUUGCGCCCCCUGGUAUUCCGGGGGGCAUGCCUGUCCGAGCGUCAUUGCAACCCUCAAGCGCGGCUUGUGUGUUGGGCUUCGUCCCCCCGUGGACGUGCCCGAAAGGCAGUGGCGGCGUCCCGAAUGGUGCCCGAGCGUAUGGGAACUCUCUUCCGCUCGAACCGGCCCAUUCGGCGCUGGUCGAACCCCAAUUUUUUUUUACCGGUUGACCUCGGAUCAGGUAGGGAUACCCGCUGAACUUAAGCAUAUCAGCGGAGGA
rnacentral:misc_RNA from 1 species